rnacentral:rRNA from 1 species
UGCCAGCCGCCGCGGUAAUACGGAGGGUGCGAGCGUUAAUCGGAAUUGCUGGGCGUAAAGGGUGCGUAGGCGGCCCAUCAAGUUAGACGUGAAAGCCCCGGGCUCAACCUGGGAAUUGCGUUUAAUACUGGUGAGCUAGAGUACGAGAGAGGAAAGUGGAAUUCCUAGUGUAGAGGUGAAAUUCGUAGAUAUUAGGAAGAACACCAGUGGCGAAGGCGACUUUCUGGCUCGUAACUGACGCUGAGGCACGAAAGCGUGGGGAGCAAACAGGAUUAGAUA